rnacentral:rRNA from 1 species
UACAGAGGUCCCAAGCGUUGUUCGGAUUCACUGGGCGUAAAGGGCGCGCAGGCGGCCGUGUAAGUCCGCUGUGAAAGACCGGGGCUCAACCCCGGGGUGUCAGCGGGGACUGCACGGCUGGAGUCCCGGAGAGGGAGGCGGAAUACCUGGUGUAGCGGUGGAAUGCGUAGAUAUCAGGUGGAACACCGAUGGCGAAGGCAGCCUCCUGGACGGGUACUGACGCUGAGGAGCGAAAGCGUGGGGAGCGAACAGG